rnacentral:tRNA from 1 species
GGAGAGAUGUCCGAGUGGUUGAAGGAGCACGACUGGAAAUCGUGUAAGGGGUGUGAGCCCCUUCGAGGGUUCGAAUCCCUCUCUCUCCGCCA